rnacentral:rRNA from 1 species
CCUCGGGGCGCAGCAGGCGCGAAACCUCCGCAAUGCGGGCAACCGCGACGGGGGGACCCCCAGUGCCGUGGCACAGCCACGGCUUUUCCGGAGUGUAAAAAGCUCCGGGAAUAAGGGCUGGGCAAGGCCGGUGGCAGCCGCCGCGGUAAUACCGGCGGCCCAAGUGGUGGCCGCUAUUAUUGGGCCUAAAGCGUCCGUAGCCGGGCCCGUAAGUCCCUGGCGAAAUCCCACGGCUCAACCGUGGGGCUUGCUGGGGAUACUGCGGGCCUUGGGACCGGGAGAGGCCGGGGGUACCCCUGGGGUAGGGGUGAAAUCCUAUAAUCCCAGGGGGACCGCAGUGGCGAAGGCGCCCGGCUGGAACGGGUCCGACGGUGAGGGACGAAGGCCAGGGGAGCGAACCGGAUUAGAUACCCGGGUAGUUCUGGCUGUAAAGGAUGCGGGCUAGGUGUCGGGCGAGCUUCGAGCUCGCCCGGUGCCGGAGGGAAGCCGUUAAGCCCGCCGCCUGGGGAGUACGGCCGCAAGGCUGAAACUUAAAGGAAUUGGCGGGGGAGCACUACAAGGGGUGCAGCGUGCGGUUUAAUUGGAUUCAACGCCGGGAACCUCACCGGGGGCGACGGCAGGAUGAAGGCCAGGCUGAAGGUCUUACCGGACGCGCCGAGAGGAGGUGUAUGGCCGCCGUCAGCUCGUACCGUGAGGCGUCCACUUAAGUGUGGUAACGAGCGAGACCCGCGCCCCCAGUUGCCAGUCCUCCCCGCUGGGGAGGAGGCACUCUGGGGGGACCGCCGGCGAUAAGCCGGAGGAAGGAGCGGGCGACGGUAGGUCAGUAUGCCCCGAAACCCCCGGGCUACACGCGCGCUACAAUGGGCGGGACAAUGGGAACCGACCCCGAAAGGGGAAGGGAAUCCCCUAAACCCGCCCUCAGUUCGGAUCGCGGGCUGCAACUCGCCCGCGUGAAGCUGGAAUCCCUAGUACCCGCGUGUCAUCAUCGCGCGGCGAAUACGUCCCUGCUCCUUGCACUCACCGCCCGUC